rnacentral:rRNA from 1 species
CCUACGGGAGGCAGCAGUGAGGAAUAUUGGUCAAUGGACGAGAGUCUGAACCAGCCAAGUCGCGUGAAGGAUGACUGCCCUAUGGGUUGUAAACUUCUUUUAUAAAGGAAUAAAACGAGGCACGUGUGCCUGUUUGCAUGUAAUUUAUGAAUAAAGAUCGGCUAAAUCCGUGCCAGGAGCCGCGGUAAUACGGAGGAACCGAGCGUUAUCCGGAUUUAUUGGGUUUAAAGGGAGCGUAGAUGGGUUGUUAAGUCAGUUGUGAAAGUUUGCGGCUCAACCGUAAAAUUGCAAUUGAUACUGGCAGUCUUGAGUACAGUUGAGGUAGGCGGAAUUCGUGGUGUAGCGGUGAAAUGCUUAGAUAUCACGAAGAACCCCGAUUGCGAAGGCAGCUUACUAAACUGUGACUGACAUUGAUGCUCGAAAGUGUGGGUAUCAAACAGGAUUAGAUACCCGGGUAGUC